UACGUAGGGGGCAAGCGUUAUCCGGAUUUACUGGGUGUAAAGGGAGCGUAGGUGGCUAGGUAAGUCAGGUGUGAAAGCCCGGGGCUCAACCCCGGGAUUGCACUUGAAACUAUUUAGCUAGGGUGCAGGAGAGGUAAGUGGAAUUCCUAGUGUAGCGGUGAAAUGCGUAGAUAUUAGGAGGAACACCAGUGGCGAAGGCGACUUACUGGACUGUAACUGACACUGAGGCUCGAAAGCGUGGGGAGCAAACAGG
rnacentral:rRNA from 1 species